rnacentral:rRNA from 1 species
CCGAGUUAUACAACUCAUCAACCCUGUGAACAUACCUAAAACGUUGCCUCGGCGGGAACAGACGGCCCCGUAACACGGGCCGCCCCCGCCAGAGGACCCCCUAACUCUGUUUCUAUAAUGUUUUUUCUGAGUAAACAAGCAAAUAAAUCAAAACUUUCAACAACGGAUCUCUUGGCUCUGGCAUCGAUGAAGAACGCAGCGAAAUGCGAUAAGUAAUGUGAAUUGCAGAAUUCAGUGAAUCAUCGAAUCUUUGAACGCACAUUGCGCCCGCCAGUAUUCUGGCGGGCAUGCCUGUUCGAGCGUCAUUACAACCCUCAGGCCCCCGGGUCUGGCGUUGGGGAUCGGCGGAAGCCCCCUGUGGGCACAACGCCGUCCCCCAAAUACAGUGGCGGUCCCGCCGCAGCUUCCAUUGCGUAGUAGCUAACACCUCGCAACUGGAGAGCGGCGCGGCCACGCCGUAAAACACCCACAGCUCAAAUUUGAAAUCUGGCUCUCGGGCCCGAGUUGUAAUUUGUAGAGGAUGCUUUUGGUGAGGUGCCUUCCGAGUUCCCUGGAACGGGACGCCAUAGAGGGUGAGAGCCCCGUCUGGUUGGACGCCGAUCCUCUGUAAAGCUCCUUCGACGAGUCGAGUAGUUUGGGAAUGCUGCUCUAAAUGGGAGGUAUAUGUCUUCUAAAGCUAAAUACCGGCCAGAGACCGAUAGCGCACAAGUAGAGUGAUCGAAAGAUGAAAAGAACUUUGAAAAGAGAGUUAAAAAGUACGUGAAAUUGUUGAAAGGGAAGCGCUUGUGACCAGACUUGGGCUUGGUUGAUCAUCCGGGGUUCUCCCCGGUGCACUCUUCCGGCUCAGGCCAGCAUCAGUUCGCCUCGGGGGAUAAAGGCUUCGGGAAUGUGGCUCUCUCCGGGGAGUGUUAU